GUAAAACUUGAACUUUUGGCUGUUUGAAAUUUCUCUAUUUAGAACUUGUAUACGCGCAGACGUUGACUUGCAUCACAUGCGAGUUCCAUUUGAUUUUUUCUUUUUUAACUUUCCUUUUUGUCCGUUAAAUUUAUUUUCUUACAAAGCAAACAGUCCUCCUCUGGGAUAAUUCAGCCUUAAUUUAAUUUACUGGUUGUGCAUUUUAUCAAAUUGAAACUAAAUCAAAGUUCAAACGAAUAUAAUUCUUAAUUUUCAAAGCCCUUGCAAAUCGCAUUUGCUGUACACUGAAAUUUGCUAGAUUUUUAUAUGUUUGUAUUGUAUCAGGUAUGAUUAUUAGUAUUUCAAAUUUUAAUAAAUCUGGCUGUCUAAUUUAUUGAUGUGAUUAUGAUACGUGGAAUAAAUUAUGUUGUAUGCUAAUAACCACCAAAUUACUGCUUUAUUAUGUUGUGUGAUUGCUGAAUGGAGUUUAUUUAAUUAGGAAAU
rnacentral:misc_RNA from 1 species